GCACACACAAAAAACUAGGGUUUCUCAUCUCUCGUUUGAUUUUGUCCGCCGCUCAUCUUCUCAUCCUCUCUCUCUAUGGCGAUUCCUGGCGAUUCAUCAGGCCUCUCUCUCGGAUCUCGCCAGAUCUCUCACCAGAUCUAUGAGGAUUUCACCAGAUCGAUGAAGUUUUUUCAGGUUUCAAUAGAUAGGGUUUUGAUCGAUUGGUAGAUCCUUUGUAAUAAUCUAUUUACCAAGCCCAAUAUUGGUCCGCAAAUUAAUGCAUCAACAGUUGGGAAAGCUCUGGUUGUGGAUAUCUGUUGGAGCACUCCUUGGGUUUUUGAUUAUCUUCAACAUAUUCUUUAUCGUAGCACUAACUUCCCUGAAUCCCCCGGUGUGAUGCUAAACCUGUGAUCAGAGAGGAAAAUGAUAUAAAGAAUUCAAAAAAUAACAGCUUACAGUAGGCUCAGCUGGGAUGGUCAAUCACAUGAGCUUUGGUGGACUUCCCGUGAAAACUGAGACAGCUGAAGAAGCUGAUGAACUUAUGAGAGUAGAUGAAAAGGCAUCUGAAGUUGAGGUAGAAGUUCUUUCAGCCCCUCCAAAGUUAGUUUACUGUAAAUUAAUCUUGCGGUGAGGAAU